rnacentral:lncRNA from 1 species
AAAUAAAUAAAAGUUGUUCCUUUCUCUUUUUUCCCUUUUUCUAGAUCUCCACUUACAAUUUUUAUUAGAGUGGGGCUAAAGGGAAAGCUGCCAGAUGAAAACCCAGGCCUACAAAAAAAUAAUAAAAAGCAUUGGAAAUGGAAGAAGUUUCUGUGGCUGAGGUCAAAGAGGUUGCUGCCACUGUUCUCCUCCAGGAUUUUGAUGGAUUCCUGUCUGACACUGAGGUCUUUCAUCCAUAUUGCAACCAGAACAUGAGACGAGACAGAAAAUCUAAGCAUCACAAACGCGAACUUGCUUAGUGUGGCAGAAUGCCUGAGGGAGCCGGGAGAUGCUGAGAGAGGGAAGGAGAGACUAGAGAAAGGAUGAGGAGAAAGGUGAGUGUCUGAGCAGAGGCCAACUCAGCCUCACCUCAUUUUUCCCUUUUGCUUUAGUUU